UCCCUGGUGGUCCAGUGGCUAAGACUCUACACUCCCAAUGCAGGGGACCCAAGUUCAAUUCCUGCCUAGGGAU
rfam:Ovis aries breed Texel chromosome 1, whole genome shotgun sequence.